rnacentral:tRNA from 1 species
AGUUCUAUGGUCUAGUGGCGAGGACAUUGGACUCAAAAUCCAGUAACCCGAGUUCAAAUCUUGGUGGAACCU